rnacentral:rRNA from 1 species
UACAGAGGUCUCAAGCGUUGUUCGGAUUCAUUGGGCGUAAAGGGUGCGUAGGCGGCGUGGUAAGUCGGGUGUGAAAUCUCGGAGCUUAACUCCGAAACUGCAUUCGAUACUGCCGUGCUUGAGGACUGGAGAGGAGACUGGAAUUUACGGUGUAGCGGUGAAAUGCGUAGAUAUCGUAAGGAAGACCAGUGGCGAAGGCGGGUCUCUGGUCUGUAACUGACACUGAGGCGCGAAAGCGUGGGGAGCGAACAGG